GGGAGCGUAGCUCAACGGUUAGAGCAGGGAACUCAUAAUUCCUUGGUUCUCGGUUCGAAUCCGAGCGCUCCCA
rnacentral:tRNA from 1 species